rnacentral:tRNA from 1 species
GGAAGGGUGCGUGAGCGGUUGAAACGGACAGUCUCGAAAACUGUUAGGGAUGAAAGUCCCUCGAGGGUUCGAAUCCCUCCCCUUCCGCCA